UACGUAGGGUGCAAGCGUUGUCCGGAAUUAUUGGGCGUAAAGAGCUCGUAGGCGGUCUGUCACGUCGGACGUGAAAAUCCAGGGCUCAACCCUGGACCGGCGUUCGAUACGGGCAGACUAGAGUUCGGUAGGGGAGACUGGAAUUCCUGGUGUAGCGGUGAAAUGCGCAGAUAUCAGGAGGAACACCGGUGGCGAAGGCGGGUCGCUGGGCCGAAACUGACGCUGAGGAGCGAAAGCGUGGGGAGCAAACAGG
rnacentral:rRNA from 1 species